CCUACGGGAGGCAGCAGUGGGGAAUAUUGCACAAUGGGGGAAACCCUGAUGCAGCGACGCCGCGUGAGUGAAGAAGUAUUUCGGUAUGUAAAGCUCUAUCAGCAGGGAAGAAAAUGACGGUACCUGAGUAAGAAGCCCCGGCUAACGACGGGCCAGCAGCCGCGGUAAUACGGAGGGGGCAAGCGUUAUCCGGAUUUACUGGGUGUAAAGGGAGCGUAGACGGCAGCACAAGUCUGGAGUGAAAUGCCGGGGCUUAACCCCGGAACUGCUUUGGAAACGGUGCAGCUAGAGUGCAGGAGAGGUAAGUGGCAUUCCUCGUGUAGCGGUGAACUGCGUAGCUAUUAGGAG
rnacentral:rRNA from 1 species